rnacentral:lncRNA from 1 species
UUUAUGUUGUCAUGUGCUUGUUGUGAUUGUCUUGUCCGGCCAUGUGUUUCCUGUCUUUGUCCUGAGACUCCGCCCCCAUCUGCCUCUGCCACUUCCUGGUUUUGACCCUCACCUGUUCCCAAUCUGUACCCUGUUUGUUUCCCUGAUUGGUACCUCCUGUGUCUUGUUAAUUCUCCUUGUCUAGUUCCCCCUCUGUUAUUUAAGUUCAGUCUGUCCUUUGUUCGAUGUUGGUUCGUCGUACUAGCAUGGUGAGAGUUCUGUUCCAAUUAGCUGUGUGCUUUCAUGUUUUCCUGCUCUACCUUGCUUUUUGUAUUGUUGCUUUGCCAGUGUUCGGUUCAUCAGUUUUUUUUGUUCGUUUUUGCCUUGGAUCUUCUGUGCGUUAAACCUUGUGAAUAAAUCCUGAAUUCUUCCCUACAUAUGGUCUGCAAUUGGGUCUCUGCCUUACGAAUCGUGACAGGAAAGGGUGCUGCUGAUGGGGUUGGCGCAGCCUUAAAAUGGAGGGCAGAUAGUCUUGUUGCAGGUGGAACAGACAUUCCAGAUGGGAGGAUGUUCUUUGAGAAGCUGAUAGGAGAGAAGUCAAAAAUCAAGCUCUUCUACAUCACAGAAAGUGAGAUAGAAGAACAUGACAGAUCUAUACCAGACCAGCUUGAAACUGUAUGUGGUACAAUGAAAAUCCACCAGAUUUUUACCACCAAGUCCGGCCACAUCAACUGGCGAAUCCUAAGCUGUUUCUGCUCAUCUCCUGAAGAUUGCCUCUGCUUUGCCCCUGAGUCUGUGGUCCUCAACAAAGCACAGAAAAAUAAAACCACUAUGGAGACAGAGCCAUGCCAAGGGAUGCUCAAUACAACGCCUGAAAUAACCAUGUCUUUGGUGGGAGAAUGGUGUGUGUGGUAUGUUACGAUGGGGAGGCCUACCCAGGUGUGGUCCAGGAUGUAGAUGAAGAGUCUGUCCAGGUGAAAACAAUGUGUAUAAUUGGGGUUAACCGUUUUUUUUGGCCUCUGAAAGACGACAUCCUGUGGUACAGGCAUGAACAUUUCCUGGGGCUUGUGCCAGAGCCAAAACCAGUCACCAAGAGGCAUAUGAUGCUUGAUAUGUCAGUCUGGAAUAAAGUAUCGUCCAUGAUGGAUGAGAGGAUGACA